AAAGCAACCCUCCUCCUCCUCCAGGCCUGCCAACAGCAGGAGCGGCGCAGGGCAUGCGGGAGGCGGGGGCGCAGAAGAGGCGGCACUGCCCGCCGAGCAUCCCCCGAGACCCACAGAAAUUAGCAGGAGAAAAUCUUAGAACUGCAGAAUAUUCUGAGUUGGAAGGAACUCACAAGGAUCAUUGAGUCCAGCACCUGGCCCUGCACAGGACCAUCCCACAGAGUCACACCAUGUGCCUGAGUGUAUUGUCCAAAUGCUUCUUGAACUGACAGGCUUGGUGUUGUGACCACUUCCCUGGGGAGCCUGCUCCAGUGCCCAACCGCCCUCUGGGUGAAGAACCUUUUUCCAAUAUCCAACUUAAACCUCCCCUGAUACAACUUCAGGCCAUUCCCUCAGGUCCUGUCACCGGUUGCUGGAGAGAAGACAUCCAAGUGUGGUUGGCAUCGUGAAAAUAUGGCAGAAAAUCAACCAACCAGCUGCUGAAGAAAGUAAUCCUUUCCUUUGGGAAGCAUUGUCUCCAUCCUUAUUGAAGCCCGAAGCUUGUCAAACGCUUACAUAUGUCAUAAGGUUUGUCUGCAGUUCAGUGAUACAGGCUAGAUCCAUGAUACACCUCUUCUAAAAAAAAAAUGUAUGUAUGCUGUACAUAUCAAGUUAUACCAAGAAAAAAAGAACAAAAUAAAAUUUGUCACAGCUAUUAUGUUAUAUAGUAGGGAAGUGGAGGAAGAAGAGUUAAAAGAUAGGUCUGGGAACUGUCCAGCUAGAAGGCACCCACUCCAUCCUGCCUGGCUCCCUCCACUAGACCCCAGCUCUUCAGAGAGAUCGGUGCACAGUAGCUGCAGCAAGGUGAUGCUGAAUGCUGGGUGUUCAACCUGGAGUUAGAACACUGCUGGAAACAAUACUCUAAGCACUUACUAUAAAAAAACAUUGUAAAUGGUAGCUGAGGUGAAUUGCUUCAUCUUUGUUCCACAAAUCCAGAACACAAUAAAAUGCCUUCUCUA